ensembl:snoRNA
AUCCCUUUGUAGUUCAUGAGCAUGAUGAUCGGGUGUUCACACGCUUGUGUGAGAUGUGCCACGCUUGAACCUUGUUAUGAUGUCGGCACAUUACCCAUCUGAUC